rnacentral:rRNA from 1 species
AGAGUUUAGUCAUGGCUCAGGAUGAACGCUAGCGGCAGGCCUAACACAUGCAAGUCGAGGGGUAACAUAAAAAAGCUUGCUUUUUUGAUGACGACCGGCGCACGGGUGCGGAACGCGUAUGGAACCUGCCCCUGUCAGGGGAAUAGCCCAGGGAAACUUGGAUUAAUGCCCCAUGGUAUCGUUUUAUCGCAUGAUAGGACGAUUAAAGAUUUAUCGGACAGGGAUGGCCAUGCGUACCAUUAGUUAGUUGGUGAGGUAACGGCUUACCAAGGCAGCGAUGGUUAGGGGCCCUGAGAGGGGGAUCCCCCACACUGGUACUGAGACACGGACCAGACUCCUACGGGAGGCAGCAGUGAGGAAUAUUGGACAAUGGGCGGGAGCCUGAUCCAGCCAUGCCGCGUGCAGGAUGACGGCCCUAUGGGUUGUAAACUGCUUUUAUACGGGAAGAAACGCACCUACGUGUAGGUGUCUGACGGUACCGUAAGAAUAAGGACCGGCUAACUCCGUGCCAGCAGCCGCGGUAAUACGGAGGGUCCGAGCGUUAUCCGGAAUCAUU